rnacentral:lncRNA from 1 species
CCUUGCAUCCAACACAGAUUCCAGGACCACUGAAACCAGCUGAGGCAUCCUGAAAGCCUAAGAUUGACCACACCAGAGGAACCAGACUGCCCUUCACAAGGGGAAGACUCCUGAACUUGCCUCACCCAAAGAUAUGAUGUACGCUUCAGACAAUGCUGGACUGAUGUGUUCAAUUAAACAAAUGCACCAAUAAAAUGCUGCAUGUAAAAAGAGUAAA